rnacentral:tRNA from 1 species
GGGCCGGUAGCUCAAUUGGUAGAGCACCCGCCUUGCACGCGGGAGGUUGUGAGUUCGAGCCUCAUCCGGUCCA